CAGCAGCUGUACCUGAACCUAUGGCUGCAUGUGAACUUCUCACCUCGUCAGCCCAACUCAGUCGCUCGACAGGAUACCUGGAGGGCCAAAGAGUAUGACAAAGCAAUGUGAAUGCACAGCUGAUGGGAGCCCUUCUGGAAUGUUCCUCAUUACUGCGUUGCCAGGUGUGAUGAGAAUCCUCUGCCAGAUUUGAAAAAGCACGCUCAACAUGACAUCACGUCAGGGUGACAACAGGAAGUGAUAAUAUAGCUCACAGCAUGGACAUGAAGGAACUAGAUCUAGAACAAAAAAUAAUUAAUCAAAGUCCAAAGAUGACAAAAACAGAUGCAUAUAGCUUCUAGCAAGUCACUGAUGAAUGAAGUAUGGAUUAAAUAGUUUUGAAAAUAUAUAUAUAUAUAUAUAUAUAUUUUUUUUCUAAAAUAUGCAUUUAUAUGUGAGUAAACAUAAUUGAAAACAAUGCAAAGGUAAUAGUAUUAAAUUUGUUGGCUCACUGAGUGACGUAUUAAAUAUUUUAUAUAUGUAUGUAUUAUUUACAUAAUACCAUAUGUAUAUGGUAGUUAUAAAUGAAAUGUUGAUAU